UUCCCUUGGCAAUAGGCAGAGACACCUUGUUGAGAUUGCUCUCAUAUCAGUGAGGGGCAGAGCAGAUGGCAGUCCUUUGUUCAUGCUAGUUUGAUGUCUGGCUUGGUGACCAAAGCUAUAUUAUGUCUAGGACACAUAA